CCAGCAUGUGCGCAUGGAUCACUCAUUAUUAGACGCUGACUAAGAGAACUGGUUGGGGUUUAAGUAACCUUUAAGUUAAAGUUUAGAUCAUUAAGUCAUGCCUCACAGGUGCCUUUACUUUUCAACUGCUUGUAAAAAAGUGAAUUAGCCAAUCAGCUCUAAGCCUGGAGUUAUCCGUUUCACAACAGGCUUUGCCUUUGUUCCUUAUUUUAAAAAAAAAGAUCAUCUGAUUUUCAUCUGGGCCACACAGCAGCUCCUCUCCUCCCCUCUGGCCUCCGACUGAGCAGGCGACUUCACCAGAUAUGACAGAGCAAAUUCAUCCUCGCCCCGACGAAAGACAGAGCGUCUCCUUCUCUCCACCGGAACCGAGAGGGGCAGUCGGCGACACGGCAGCUCUGGCUGGACGCCGGUCUGGAGCGCUGGGAGCAGUCGCUCUCCAGCGUGGUCCGUCGGUCUCCAGCCUGGCAGAACACAUCCCUUUGCUGGACGCCGUCGCCACACGACGCUGAACACUGAGAAACAAGACAGAAAUGUGAAGAAAUCCAAGUUGGAACCUGGAGCGUGGAUGAUUUAGUGAAAGUACAGUUUGUUGAAGGCACAGCAGCAGUGUUUUUAAUGAAAGUGUGUCUUUUCUGCUGUAAUACAGAACACAUUUCUACAGAAAACACAAAGAAUGACAGAGGGAUGAAGACUCAAUUUCUGUGAAAUCUGCUCAGAUGUUAAAGUGAUAGUUUGAGUUUUUUGAAGUGGGGUUGUACGAGGUAUUUAUCCAUAGUCAUCGUGUGUCACCUACAGUGGACAGCAGACAGACGACAGAUUGGAGUAGCAGACAGCUACACAGAGAGCCUGGCACAGAAGCAGAGCUAUGCACUGCUGUGGAGAGGAUCAUUUUAACCACAUAAAAAGAGGAAGAAAAAACUUUGGUAUUUUUUCAACCUGAACCUUAUUUUCUCUUGGGUUUCUGUCAAAGAGACUAAUGGAGAACAACAAAUCUGGUCCAGGCUUGCAGCCUCAAAAUGGGUUGCAACAUAAUCCUAAAAUGAGCUUUAGUGCACGGCAGAGUGUAGGUUAUGUGUAGGAAUACAGUUAGUGCCAAAAUAAAAGGUGGGCCCUUUUUAGUGGCUAAAAUAGAUUUUUUUUUUUUCUGCUGACCAUAUCCACAGCAGUGCUUAGCUCUGCUUCUGUGCUGGGAUCCCUGUCUGCUUCUCCAGACUACGGGCGCACUGGCGGCUGGUAAUACACAGACUAUAUGUUGAUACCUCAGACAACCCCACUUUGAAACUAACCCUUUAACCCAGAUGACUGAAACAGUCACAUAUUAUAAGCAAUGCAUAUAUUUAAAUAUUACUUUCAGAUAUGAUAUUUCACUGUAACUCUCUUGUGUCUUUUCUCCUUUCAGACAGAUGUCAAUGAUUGAUGCUAAUGUAACGCUAAUGAACUAUGCAAUACAUUUACAAUAACAGAUCAUUUAUGCAGCUUUGAAUGACAAAAAGUAUGACUGAUACAAUGUUUGAAUUUGUGUGUAUAUGUGUAUAUGAGAGAGACAACCGUUAUAACUGCUCAUAUGUUUGCAGGUUAAAGGAGCAGGAAGUAAUAAACAUCUCCAGAUGAUCAAGCUGAGGUGAUAACUGGAUGGGUUCCAGAGGUUCAGCAGCUUCAGAGCGAGUCUGAUAAAGACUUAUAUGUCCAUUCAAAUGCGAAAUAACUUUAUAUAUUUUACUUUGUAUUAUCUGCCAUGCAGUUUCAGCAGUUGAACCACUAGGUAGCCUGCUGCACUAUGGCUAAUCAUGCUGUACUUGACUAAGAGCUUUGUGUGGAGUAUCAUUUUCUCCUGGCAUGUGUCCUGCUCCACAGCUGUUGAGAGCAGACGCACAUCCUCUCUAAAGUAUGGAGCACAGAUGUGGUUCUGUGCACGGACUCUAGGCCAGUGAGGUGAAUUCAGAGAAUGAGAGAGACAUGGAGGGUAAAGAGAGGAAAAGAAAAAGUGAUCUCAGACAGACUCUCCAGCAGCCCAGGUGCACAUUGCGGGUGUGUCUGGCAUGAUGACGUUAGUGGACUGCCUUCUUAGUAGGGCAUUCAAAGAAAAGACUAACAUGUGGUUCCCAUUGGGGAGGCAGGAGGCAGGGAAGAAAGAAGUGAAAAGGGGCUUGAAAGAAAAAAAAAGUGAUCAGUGGAGGAAAGAGCAACAGUGAAAAGGAGGAUUAAAGGGACAGAGAGGAGAGUAAAGUGAGGGCCAGAGGAAGAGAAAAUAUAGAUGACAGGAAUAGAUUUACACUGGCCGGACUUGACAUCAGUUAAGCUCAGAUCAAAGAAAGGUGGUCACACUUACUGUACUGUGAAGUUGCAGCCCCUGCAUACACUACCUCAAAAUCUCUGUUAGCUGACCCAGGUCUAUGCUGCAACCCAGCAAACCACCAUGUGAUGUGUAAAAGCACCCUGCCUUAGUUAGUGGCUCGGCAUGGUGCGUAAAUACAGUCAGGUUUAGCUGCAUAUGUUUGCACACACAUGCACACAUUUGCAAGCAGGCUGGUAAGUAUUA